rnacentral:lncRNA from 1 species
AAGACCUCAUAUGCCCAGCUGGUAGGAAAAUAUACAUGGCAACCUUAUACGGUAGAAAUUGUUUUGAUUCAAUACCUAGAUCAUGAGGGUUUUCUUCCUCUUCAUAAUUACCCUCAAAACAUAAUAAUGCUAAAGAAUAAACAAGCACGAUACCAAAGCUGGCACUGACCAACAAAAUGGCCUCCCAAAUGAUGCCAAUGAGACACAGUCAACCAGUGUGCCUAAGUUACCAAUGAUCAAACUCAGAAAAUUAAAAUAUUAGGAUCAUGGAGCUCACGAAUAGUGUGACCAGACAGCAUAUAUAUGAGUGAAUGGCCUCACCUAAUAUCUCAAAGGUUUUCGCCUACCGCAGUGAUGCUCUCACUAUCUCACAAAUGGUAAUUGAAUGGCCAAAAGCUGGUUUGUCC